AGUUUGCAGAGUUGGAUUCAGCAGAAGAGGGGCGUUCCUAUCAAUCUUUUCAAUGUUUCUCACCACUUAAAUAGCUGUGCAGGCUGCAACCGGCAUGACCCGCAUACGUUGGCCAUGUAAAAUGUGGUAUCUCGUGCUCUGCAUCUAAAUAUGUCUGUUUUAAAUAGGGAUGGCCUCUGUAGGAUCUCCCAGCAGCCAACGGUAAAGAAAAGACUGUCUUGACAAACCAACAGAAAAUGGGCAAAGACUCAAAUAGACAUCCUCCAAGGAGAAUGUCCA